rnacentral:rRNA from 1 species
GACGAACGCUGGCGGCGUGCUUAACACAUGCAAGUCGAACGGUGAAGCUCCAGCUUGCUGGAGUGGAUCAGUGGCGAACGGGUGAGUAACACGUGAGCAACCUGCCCCUGACUCUGGAAUAAGCGCUGGAAACGGCGUCUAAUACUGGAUACGAGAAGGGUCCGCAUGGGCACUUUCUGGAAAGUUUUUCGGUUGGGGAUGGGCUCGCGGCCUAUCAGCUUGUUGGUGAGGUAAUGGCUCACCAAGGCGACGACGGGUAGCCGGCCUGAGAGGGCGACCGGCCACACUGGGACUGAGACACGGCCCAGACUCCUACGGGAGGCAGCAGUGGGGAAUAUUGCACAAUGGGCGAAAGCCUGAUGCAGCGACGCCGCGUGAGGGAUGACGGCCUUCGGGUUGUAAAUCUCUUUCAGCAGGGAAGAAGCGAAAGUGACGGUACCUGCAGAAGAAGCACCGGCUAACUACGUG